rnacentral:lncRNA from 1 species
UCAGCCUUUCCUGGAAUUUCUAUUGUUCUUUUACAGGACUGGGAAGUGCCUGUCCCAAAGCCAAGGAUGUUUUCAACCUCUGGUUGGGAUCAUCAGGACACCAGCUGUUCUACAAUUACAUUAGAGGGUGGAAGAAAAAUCCAAUCAGAGCUGAAGUUGACCACGGGAUGCAGAACUUUGCCGACAGUGAGUGCAGAAUCCAGUCAACAAGUAGGCUACUCAGAGGUCAGAGGUGGAGUCCAGAGUACACAAAAGAAGACCUCUGUUUUUCAGAGAAACUUGGUGUCACAGAAAGGUCGGGAAAACAGCACAGAUCAUGUUAUGAGCCAUUCCAGAUCCUAAAUCAGCAGCAAAAAUUACUAAUUGCUUAUUUAAUGCUCUGUGAGAAAUCAAGCAUGGUACCAAAAGAGUCUCUCCAUUUUUUUUCAAUUAAUAAAAGUAAUUUUUAGAGUAUCAUUGGACUAUUUCAUGGUUAUUUAUUGUAGUGAGUCCUUAUUUUCCUUUGAAAUGCACUAAAUCAUGCCCUAAUCUCUUCGCUAUAAUUUUUCCAUGG